UUUCUUCUUCGUUUCCUUAUUUCCCAGAAUCUCCGCCGAAAGACAUUCACCAUUUUUUUCCUUCUUCGGAUAAACAUUACAGGUGGUACUGGUCCUGUUGAGCUUUCCGGCGAUCAAAGAUUUCGCAACAUACGUCUAAACCUACACCAAAUACUAACAGAUUUACUUAAAGGAUCAGUUUGAUCAUUCUCCUAAGAUCUUUUCUCAAUCGAAAUUGAUUAGGGUUGUAAAUCGUUCAAUUUGGUGUUGAUUGAACAGCUGAUAAAUGAAGAACUUAAAAUUGCUAAUUACUCAAAACUACGAUCUGGAAUUGAGAAUUAGGUUUACUUUAUAUGUUAAUAGAUAUAUCAAAAGGGUUUCCUGUAAACCAGACAUUUUUGACGAAAUAUGUGUAAAUUAGAGGAAUUGAAUUGUCUGAUCAAAGAUUUGGGGUUCUGAAAAAUCAAUUAUUGGUGUUUUGGUGUAUAGCUUUAUACAUAUUUGGCGGUUCCGUUCGUAUAGCUCAACUUCUGUCUUGAUGGAAUACAAAUUAAUCAAUUUGCAGAUGAAUAUUAGCCAUGGAAUGCGAAAACAAUGGGGGUUGUAGGAAUGGCCCGAAUGGGUAUGGAGUGGAGUCUAUGAUUAAUGGAGACCAGGAGUUGAUGACCUCAUGCAAUGGUGGUGGUGGGACUGACUGACUACUGCAACAAAUUUUGGGGGAUUAAUUUUGGACUGACUGCUGCAACAUAUGUUCAUCAAUGGAGUUUGGGUUUCUGCAGAUGGAGGGGGAAGAGGACAGAACAGACUUAGGUUACAUCGGGGCCAUAGGAUUAAUUAUUUUUAGCAAAGCCGUUGGAUCUGAGUCUAUUUCAGGGGAAAAUUAUAAUCUCAACUGGGUGGACUUUGGGUAAAGGAAAGAAGAAAUCUUUAGGGAGGAGGAUUAAGCAUGCAGGGUGCCACUAUCAGAAGUUGCAUACUUUGAGCAUUCCAGCAUUACAAAGCUAAGAGAAUUUGCUAAGAUCAUUUCUCCACAGCAAGUUAUCCCAAGUGUGAAUAAUGACGGUCCUCAGUCUACAGAUUCCAUGAUUGCUUUACUCAUUUCCUGAUCUAAUGACUUGCAUCACCCCAAAUGAAGAAAAGGUCUUUGUUUCUAACAUUUCUAUUGUACCCACAUAUGAUUGUUGUUAAAUAGUGGUCUUUUAUAUACACUCCAGGGAACAAACGUGUCAACAGCUUUGGGAAACUAUAAGAUCGAAUGUGCAGUCUUUUUCCUCUACACCAUGUCGUAUGUGUGACAGCUUUCUAUACAACCAUCGAACAAUUGAAAAGCUGUGAUUAUUUUGUUCGGUAUUUAGUAAAGUUAGUAAACAGACUCUCAUAAUGAUGAUCCAUUGCAAACC